UACGUAGGGGGCUAGCGUUGUCCGGAAUCAUUGGGCGUAAAGCGCGUGUAGGCGGUCCGGUAAGUCCGCUGUGAAAGUCGAGGGCUCAACCCUCGAAUGCCGGUGGAUACUGUCGGGCUCGAGUACGGAAGAGGCGAGUGGAAUUCCUGGUGUAGCGGUGAAAUGCGCAGAUAUCAGGAGGAACACCAAUUGCGAAGGCAGCUCGCUGGGACGUAACUGACGCUGGAGACGCGAAAGCGUGGGGAGCAAACAGG
rnacentral:rRNA from 1 species